GUUGGAAAUAAACUUUCCAGGAGAGUGUGUCCCAAGGAGAAGACCUCAGCUCUACCCUAUGUCAUCACGCUCAGGAGGGAGGUGAAGGUCGAGCAGAGGCUAAUGACGCUUCAACACAGAAUGUUCUUUGAGAUCAGGCUCCUCGACUCGCAGCCUGGCAGCCUCUGAUUAUAACAGCGAUGGCUGGACAAGCGAAGGAAUUGCUGGAAUUGUGCUUGUGGAGCAGAACAGAACGUUUGGAGAUGUUUCCAGCAUGUGAUCAGUUAAAGAAGUUUCCCUCCUCGGAAGACCUUGAGUGUGUCAGUGGAGGACAGGAGCUGAGAGGGGCAUGGGAGACGCAUGCAGUCGUUUGAUCAGAGCUAAUGCGCUGGAAGCUGCUGAGGAUGCAACCCUUACCGCUCUUUUCCCAGGAGAGACGGGGAGAGAAGAGAAGAAAGGGGGAAUGAAGAUGUUCCCAGCGGACACCUGCAGAGCAUACCUCACCUUCAUCCAUCAGGAAUCUCCCUUAUGAGUUAAUGCCAGCAGGGAACCAUCCUGACAGGUUUGGCCUUAAUGGCACAUUCUGUAGUGAAUUGAGAAUAUUGCAGGAGUGCUAGUUAACUAAGAUGUGCUCCUGCAAUGCUUUUGUGUGGUGUGUUUACGUCUCAGCUUGGUGACAUGGAGGCCAGCCUGAAAGUGAAAGCCAGUUAUGAGGGUCAGACUCGAGAUUGAAACUUGUGAAAAGCUUUCAAACCUUGUGGUUCCAUCAGAGCCUUGUUUGUCUUUGAAAAUGUGCAAAAGAGCAUGAAUAUAGCUCUUGAAUGGUGAAUCUGUUGUUGGCUUUUACCCAAACCUGAUCUGCACUCAGUUCCAUUGAUUGCCAUUUUUGUUAACAACCGUUCAUAUUCACAUGUGAGAAGUAUGCAUUUAAUGGAUGAAACAUUUCAGUACUUCUUUCAUACAAACUGUCGUAUGCAGCUCCAUUGCUUUGUGUUUCUCAGCCUUGCAAGGUCAAAUGUCUAGGUAAAUGUGCAAAGCGUAGAUUAUUGGAGCCCCAUACAUUUCAUCAUGAAA